rnacentral:rRNA from 1 species
GACGAACGCUGGCGGCGUGCUUAACACAUGCAAGUCGAACGGUAAGGCCCUUCGGGGUACACGAGUGGCGAACGGGUGAGUAACACGUGGGUGAUCUGCCCUGCACUUCGGGAUAAGCCUGGGAAACUGGGUCUAAUACCGGAUAGGACCACUGCCUGCAUGGGUGGUGGUGGAAAGCUUUUGCGGUGUGGGAUGGGCCCGCGGCCUAUCAGCUUGUUGGUGGGGUGAUGGCCUACCAAGGCGACGACGGGUAGCCGGCCUGAGAGGGUGACCGACCGCACUGGGACUGGGAUACUGCCCAGACUCCUACGGGAGGCAGGAGUGGGGAAUAUUGCACAAUGGGCGCAAGCCUGAUGCAGCGGCGCCGCGUGAGGGAUGACGGCCUUCGGGUUGUAAACCUCUUUCAGCACCGACGAAGCGCAAGUGACGGUAGGUGCAGAAGAAGGACCGGCCAACUACGUGCCAGCCGCCGCGGUAA